rnacentral:lncRNA from 1 species
CUCUGCUUUGCUAAUUGCCACCCUCCAGGGAUAACAAACACCUUCUCCAUGGUCCAUUCCCACAAAACCAAGGAAAACACUUCCAAAGACUCCAGGAAAGCUUUGUGCUCUCACUCCCUGAUAAGCUCAGCUGCUGGAAAAGAGAUUCUUUCUAGGAAGCUGGGGUCGAAAAAUAACCCCCAAAAUAACCCAUCCCAGUGCUGGGGAUGCCAGGUUCUCCUCCCCUUUCCCCAAAAAACCCACCUGUCCCACCUGAGCAAUCCCUGCAGAGGUACCACUCCUGAUCCAAGGAACCUGCAGCCACAGGGAAGGAGGAGCUGGAGCAAGGGAGGACAAGCUGUGGCAAGUACCCCUCUCCUCUCCUCCUUCCCUUUUCUGGGAUGCACUUGGGCAUCUUCUCUUUCAUUUUCUGGGAUGCACCCCCAUCUGCUUCCCCUCUUCUGUGGGAUUUACUCACAUCACCCCAUUUUGGGGGAUACCCUCAUCUCCUCAUCCUUUUUUUUUUUUUUCAUGGGAAACACUCACCCAGCUCCUCUUUUUUCCAGGACACACCCACACAAACCCUUCUCCUUCUGUGGGAUGCACAACUCUUUUUGUCCUGGAUCUACCCACACAUCUGCCCCUCCAGCUUUUCUCUGGGAAGCACUCAUGCAUCCCCUCCUCCUCUUUUGCAGGAUGCACUCCCCACCUCCUCCUUUCUUUGGGAUGCACCCCUACCUCCUCCUCCUUUUUUUUUUUUUGCAGGAUACACCCACACAGGUCCUGCUUUUGUGGGAUGGACUCACAGAUCUCUUUUUUUUUUCAGGUUGCACUCAAGCAUCUCUUUUUUUUCCCUACCCCCCAACCUCAUCCUUUGCAAGGACCAUUCCCUACACUUCCUCAAGGAUUCCAACAGCUCAACCUGCCCCAAAGGUGGGGCCACACACAGCCAAAAACCCCCAGUGAGGAUGUUCAUGGCAAAAUCAGCAGGGAGGGGGUUUGGGGCAGAGAGCAGAGCCUGGGAAACGCUUCCCAGAGCAACCCCACCCCGGGAGCCCUAAUCUGAUGGCAGGUUUUCAAUGGAGCAGCCAGGAUGGGGAGGGAGAGAGGCUGGAGAGGGG